GAUGAACGCUAGCUACAGGCUUAACACAUGCAAGUCGAGGGGUAACGAGAGGAAAGCUUGCUUUCCUUGUUGACGACCGGCGCACGGGUGAGUAACGCGUAUCCAACCUGCCCCCAACUAGGGAAUAACCUUGCGAAAGUAAGACUAAUACCCUAUAAUUUCCUCAGAUGUCAUCUGACGAGGAAUAAAGAUUUAUCGGUUGUGGAUGGGGAUGCGUCUGAUUAGCUUGUUGGCGGGGUAACGGCCCACCAAGGCAACGAUCAGUAGGGGUUCUGAGAGGAAAGUCCCCCACAUUGGAACUGAGACACGGUCCAAACUCCUACGGGAGGCAGCAGUGAGGAAUAUUGGUCAAUGGGAGGAAGCCUGAACCAGCCAAGUAGCGUGCAGGAUGACGGCCCUAUGGGUUGUAAACUGCUUUUGUACAGGAAUAAAGUUAGCCACGUGUGGUUAUUUGUAGGUACUGUAUGAAUAAGGACCGGCUAAUUCCGUGCCAGCCGCCGCGGUAA
rnacentral:rRNA from 1 species